GACGCACGCUGGCGGCGUGCUUAACACAUGCAAGUCGAGCGGAGCGGCGAACGGGUGAGUAAAGCGUUAGUACCUGCCCCCCUCUCUGGGAUAACAGUUGGAAACGGCUGCUAAUACCGGAUAGUGGGUGAUGACUCUCGUCCUAUCAGCUUUUUGGUGGGGUAGUUGCCUACCAAUGGGCCGACGGGUAGCCGGCCUGAGAGGGCGACCGGCCACAUUCGGCUGAGAUACGGCCCAAACUCCUACGGGAGGCAGCAGUGGGUAAUAUUGCACAAUGGGGGAAACCCUGAUGCAGCAACGCCGCGUGCGGGAUGACGGCCUUCGGGUUGUAAACCGCUUUCAGCCAUGACGCGGUAGUGGCAGAAGAAGCACCGGCUAACUACGUGCCAGCCGCCGCGGUAAUAC
rnacentral:rRNA from 1 species